rnacentral:rRNA from 1 species
UACGUAGGGCGCAAGCGUUGUCCGGAAUUAUUGGGCGUAAAGAGCUCGUAGGCGGUUUGUCGCGUCUGCUGUGAAAUCCUCAGGCUCAACCUGGGGCUUGCAGUGGGUACGGGCAGACUAGAGUGCGGUAGGGGUGACUGGAAUUCCUGGUGUAGCGGUGGAAUGCGCAGAUAUCAGGAGGAACACCGAUGGCGAAGGCAGGUCACUGGGCCGCAACUGACGCUGAGGAGCGAAAGCAUGGGGAGCGAAC